rnacentral:rRNA from 1 species
GAUGAACGCUGGCGGCGUGCCUAAUACAUGCAAGUCGAGCGAACGGACGAGAAGCUUGCUUCUCUGAUGUUAGCGGCGGACGGGUGAGUAACACGUGGAUAACCUACCUAUAAGACUGGGAUAACUUCGGGAAACCGGAGCUAAUACCGGAUGAUAUUUUGAACCGCAUGGUUCAAAAGUGAAAGACGGUCUUGCUGUCACUUAUAGAUGGAUCCGCGCUGCAUUAGCUAGUUGGUAAGGUAACGGAUUACCAAGGCAACGAUGCAUAGCCGACCUGAGAGGGUGAUCAGCCACACUGGAACUGAGACACGGUCCAGACUCCUACGGGAGGCAGCAGUAGGGAAUCUUCCGCAAUGGGCGAAAGCCUGACGGAGCAACGCCGCGUGAGUGAUGAAGGUCUUCGGAUCGUAAAACUCUGUUAUUAGGGAAGAACAUAUGUGUAAGUAACUGUGCACAUCUUGACGGUACCUAAUCAGAAAGCCACGGCUAACUACGUG